CCUACGGGAGGCAGCAGUGAGGAAUAUUGGUCAAUGGGCUUACGCCUGAACCAGCCAAGUCGCGUGAGGGAAGACUGCCCUAUGGGUUGUAAACCUCUUUUGUCAGGGAGCAAUUGGCGCUACGUGUAGCGUUAUCGAGAGUACCUGAAGAAAAAGCAUCGGCUAACUCCGUGCCAGCAGCCGCGGUAAUACGGAGGAUGCGAGCGUUAUCCGGAUUUAUUGGGUUUAAAGGGUGCGUAGGCGGAAUGCCAAGUCAGCGGUAAAAUCGCGGGGCUCAACCUCGCUCCGCCGUUGAAACUGGCGGUCUUGAGUGGGCGAGAAGAAUGCGGAAUGCGUGGUGUAGCGGUGAAAUGCAUAGAUAUCACGCAGAACUCCGAUUGCGAAGGCAGCAUACCGGCGCCCAACUGACGCUGAAGCACGAAAGCGUGGGUAUCGAACAGGAUUAGAUACCCCGGUAGUC
rnacentral:rRNA from 1 species